AGUGAACGCUGGCGGUAGGCCUAACACAUGCAAGUCGAACGGCAGCACAGUAAGAGCUUGCUCUUACGGGUGGCGAGUGGCGGACGGGUGAGGAAUACAUCGGAAUCUACUUUUUCGUGGGGGAUAACGUAGGGAAACUUACGCUAAUACCGCAUACGACCUACGGGUGAAAGCAGGGGAUCUUCGGACCUUGCGCGAUUGAAUGAGCCGAUGUCGGAUUAGCUAGUUGGCGGGGUAAAGGCCCACCAAGGCGACGAUCCGUAGCCGGUCUGAGAGGAUGAUCAGCCACACUGGAACUGAGACACGGUCCAGACUCCUACGGGAGGCAGCAGUGGGGAAUAUUGGACAAUGGGCGCAAGCCUGAUCCAGCCAUACCGCGUGGGUGAUGAAGGCCUUCGGGUUGUAAAGCCCUUUUGUUGGGAAAGAAAAGCAGCAGGUUAAUACCCCGCUGUUCUGACGGUACCCAAAGAAUAAGCACCGGCUAACUUCGUG
rnacentral:rRNA from 1 species